UACGUAGGGUGCGAGCGUUAAUCGGAAUUACUGGGCGUAAAGCGUGCGCAGGCGGUCUGUUAAGACAGAUGUGAAAUCCCCGGGCUUAACCUGGGAACUGCAUUUGUGACUGGCAGGCUAGAGUAUGGCAGAGGGGGGUAGAAUUCCACGUGUAGCAGUGAAAUGCGUAGAGAUGUGGAGGAAUACCGAUGGCGAAGGCAGCCUCCUGGGCCAAUACUGACGCUCAUGCACGAAAGCGUGGGGAGCAAACAGG
rnacentral:rRNA from 1 species